rnacentral:rRNA from 1 species
AUUCCAGCUCCAAUAGCGUAUAUUAAAGUUGUUGCGGUUAAAAAGCUCGUAGUUGGAUUUCUGCCGAGGAUGACCGGUCCGCCCUGUGGGUGUGCAUCUGGCUCAGCCUUGGCAUCUUCCUGAAGAACGUAGCUGCACUUGACUGUGUGGUGCGGUAUUUAGGACAUUUACUUUGAGGAAAUUAGAGUGUUUCAAGCAAGCGCACGCUUUGAAUACAUUAGCAUGGAAUAAUAAGAUAGGACCUUGGUACUAUUUUGUUGGUUUGCGCACCAAGGUAAUGAUCAAUAGGGACAGUUGGGGGUAUUCGUAUUCAGUUGUCAGAGGUGAAAUUCUUAGAUUUAUUGAAGACGAACUACUGCGAAAGCAUUUACCAAGGAUGUUUUCAUCA